rnacentral:RNase_P_RNA from 1 species
AUCAUAAAGAGAGAAUAAUAUGGGAAGGUCUGAGUACGCGAAAAUCUCUAGGGGGGAAAUUACAAACAAUGUAAUGGUCAGGUAACAGAAAUAGUCUAAGCUCAUACUAAAAAACGACAAAGAAACCAAUUCAUCAACUUGCCGAAAGGUCGGAAAAUGUAAAGGUCGAGUCAGUAUGACAAAGGUUGGGAAAACUUGGCUGCGUAUAAAAUCAAUGAAGUUAGAUACAUCGGAUAGUUGAAAUUUAAAAAAAAUCAACUACAACUCAAUUCAGAUUAAUCUCUAACUGAU